GACGGAGGGCGCAAGCGUUGUUCGGAAUUACUGGGCGUAAAGCGCGCGCAGGCGGGAAGGUAAGUCUGGAGUGAAAUUCCGGGGCUCAACUCCGGAGCUGCUUUGGAUACUGUCUUUCUAGGGACCGGUAGAGGCCGGUGGAAUUCCCGGUGUAGCGGUGGAAUGCGUAGAGAUCGGGAGGAACACCAGUGGCGAAGGCGGUCCCCUGGGCCGGGCCUGACGCUGAGGCGCGAAAGCGUGGGGAGCGAUCCGG
rnacentral:rRNA from 1 species